UAACAGAAUAACACAAUAUAAGUUUGAGUUCUAUUUAAAGGUGCUGUAGAACGUGUUUUCAAAAGAUGUAAUAUAAGUCUCAGGUGUCCCCUGAAUGUGUCUGUGAAGUUUCAGCUCAAAAUACCCCAUAGAUUUUUUUUUUAUUCAUUUUUUUUUUUUUUAACUGCCUAUUUUGGGGCAUUAUUAAAUAUGCGCCGAUUCAGGCUGCGGCCCCUUUAAAUUCUCAUGCUCCCCGCCCCCGGAGCUCGCGCUUGCCUUAAACAGCAUAAACAAAGUUCACACAGCUAAUAUAACCCUCAAAAUGGAUCUUUACAAAGUGUUCGUCAUGCAGCAUGUCUAAUCGCAUAGGAACAGGAAGUAAUGCAAGAAGAACCAUCAGUACUCAGGAGAUGGCUCCCUCUGGCAGUCGGAGGAAUGGAUGGCGGAUGCAGAUGUUACACAUGUAAAAAGAUCAGCGGAAAAGAGUCAUUAGGAGUCCACAGAGUAAGAGAGAGAGAGAGAGAGAGAGAAAGGAAGAGAGCAACUGGUGCAAAGGCUCAUUCGAAGCACACAGGGGGACUGUAGUGUCCCUGGCCUCUCAUUCUUCAAGACCACAAUGUGAACGUCUCCACCUUCACAUGCAGCUUUCAAGCGAGCAGUCACCCGUUCAGACCGACUCAGCGAGAGCUUUGACAUUGGUGCAUUUAUGACUGCACCUGACCACAUCAUCAAUCAGCUCUGGCCCCCGGUUCAGUCGUCCCCUAUUUUCUAAUUUUGUCUAGGAUAAAUGUUUUAAGCAAAUGACAAAUGUUACAGAAAUUAAUCUAUUUUCCUCUGAAGAAUUUGAAAUUAAUUAGUGCCUUUGGUUUAAUUUAUUCCUUUCUUGUGACAUUAAGAUUUUCAGAAUGAGAACUUAUGGACCAUUUUCACUUGGUAUGGUAAUUAAAUUGAGACAAUAAAAAAAUUAAUAUACCUGA